GACGAACGCUGGCGGCGUGCUUAACACAUGCAAGUCGAACGGAAAGGCCCUGCUUUUGUGGGGUGCUCGAGUGGCGAACGGGUGAGUAACACGUGAGUAACCUGCACUUGACUUUGGGAUAACUUCAGGAAACUGGGGCUAAUAUCGGAUAGGAGCUCCUGCUGCAUGGUGGUGGUUGGAAAGUUUCGGCGGUUGGGGAUGGACUCGCGGCUUAUCAGCUUCUUGGGCGGGUAGUUGCUUACCAAGGUUUUGACGGGUAGCCGGCCUGGGAGGGUGGCCGGGCACAUUGGGCCUGAGAUACGGCCCAGACUGCAACGGGAGGCAGCAGUGGGGAAUAUUGCGCAAUGGGCGGAAGCCUGAUGCAGCAACGCCGCGUGCGGGAUGACGGCCUUCGGGUUGUAAACCGCUUUCGCCUGUGACGAAGAGUGAGUGACGGUAAUGAGUAAAGAAGCACCGGCUAACUACGUG
rnacentral:rRNA from 1 species